rnacentral:rRNA from 1 species
CCUACGUGGUGCAGCAGUAGGGAAUAUUGCGCAAUGGGCGAAAGCCUGACGCAGCGACGCCGCGUGAGGGAUGAAGGUCUUCGGAUCGUAAACCUCUGUCAGCAGGGAAGAACGGUCACUGUGCUAAUCAGCAGUGAAUUGACGGUACCUGCAAAGGAAGCACCGGCUAACUCCGUGCCAGCAGCCGCGGUAAUACGGAGGGUGCGAGCGUUAAUCGGAAUUACUGGGCGUAAAGCGCUCGUAGGCGGUAUGUCAAGUCAAGGGUGAAAUCCCCGCGCUAAACGUGGGAACUGCCUUUGAAACUGGCAAACUGGAGUGUGUGAGAGGAUAGUGGAAUUCCAGGUGUAGGAGUGAAAUCCGUAGAUAUCUGGAGGAACAUCAGUGGCGAAGGCGACUAUCUGGCACAUAACUGACGCUGAGGAGCGAAAGCGUGGGUAGCAAACAGGAUUAGAUACCCGGUAGUC